rnacentral:rRNA from 1 species
ACGAACGCUGGCGGCAGGCUUAACAACAUGCAAGUCGAAUACGCACUCCUUCGGGGUGAGUGGGCAGACGGUGAGGUAACCGCGUGGGAACGUGCCCUUCAGUUCGGGAUAACCCAGGGAAACUUGGGCUAAUACCGGAUACUGCGAGAGCAAAGAUUGAUUCGCUGAAGGAUCGGCCCGCGUCUGAGUAGCUAGUUGGUGGGGUAAUGGGGCCCACCAAGGCGAACGAUCAGUAGCUGGUCUGAGAGGAUGAUCAGCCACACUGGGACUGAGACACGGCCAGACUCCUACGGGAGGCAAGCAGUGGGGAAUAUUGGACAAUGGGCGGCAAGCCUGAUCCAGCCAUGCCGCCGUGAGUGAUGAAGGCCUUAUGGUUGUAAAGCUCUUUCGCACGCGACGAUAAUGACGGUAGCGUAGAAGAAGCCCCGGCCUAACUUCGUGCCAUCAGGCCGCGGUAAUACGAAGGGGGCUAGCGUUGUUCGGAAUCACUGGGCGUAAAGGGGCGCGUAGGCGGCUAGAUAAGUCGGGGGUGAAAGCCUGUGGCUCAACCACAGAAUUGCCUUCGAUACUGUCUGGCUUGAGGCCGGAGAGGGUUAGUGGAAACUGCGAGGUAGAGGUGAAAUUUCGUAGAUAUUCGCAAGAACACCAGUGGCGAAGGCGGCUGACUGGUCCGGUUCUGACGCUGAGGCGCGAAAGCGUUGGGGGAGCAAACAGGAUUAGAUACCCUGGUAGUCCACGCCCGUAAGAACGAUGAAUGCCAGCCGUUGGCGAGCUUGCUCGUCAGUGGCGCAAGCUAACGCUUUAAGCAUUCCGCCUGGGGAGUACGGUCGCAAGAUUAAAACUCAAAGGAAUUGACGGGGGCCCGCACAAGCGUGGAGCAUGUGGUUUUAAUUCGAAGCAACGCGCAGAACCUUACCAGCCUUUGACAUUCCGGUUGUGGAUCCUGGAGACAGGUUCCUUCAGUUCGGCUGGCCGGAACACAGGGCUGCAGUGGCUGUCGUCAGCUCGUGUCGUGAGAUGUUGGGUUAAGUCCCGCAACGAGCGCAACCCUCGCCCCUAGUUGCCAUCAUUAGGUUGGGCACUCUAGGGGGACUGCCGGUGAUAAGCCGCGAGGAAGGUGGGGGAUGACGUCAAGUCCUCAUGGCCCUUACGGGCUGGGCUACACACGUGCUACAAUGGCGGUGACAAAGGGCAGCGAACCCGCGAGGGGGAGCUAAUCCCAAAAAGCCGUCUCAGUUCAGAUUGCACUCUGCAACUCGAGUGCAAUGAAGGCGGAAUCGCUAGUAAUCGUGGAUCAGAACGCCACGGUGAAUACGUUCCCGGGCCUUGUACACACCGCCCGUCACACCAUGGGAGUUGGUCUUACCCGACGGCGCUGCGCCAACCGCAAGGGGGCAGGCGACCACGGUAGGGUCAGCGACUGGGGUG